rnacentral:miRNA from 1 species
AUGUAUGUAUGUAUGUAUGUAUGCAUGCAUGCAUGUAUGUAUGUGUGUGUAUGUGUGUGUAU